UGAGGCAGGAGAAUUGCUUGAACCCAGGAGGUGGAGGUUGCAGUGAGCUGAGAUCGCACCACUGCACUCCAGCCUGGGGGACAGAGCGAGACUCCGUCUCA
rnacentral:miRNA from 1 species